AUGAACGCUGGCGGCGUGCCUAAUACAUGCAAGUCGAGCGAACGGACGAGAAGCUUGCUUCUCUGAUGUUAGCGGCGGACGGGUGAGUAACACGUGGAUAACCUACCUAUAAGACUGGGAUAACUUCGGGAAACCGGAGCUAAUACCGGAUAAUAUUUUGAACCGCAUGGUUCAAAAGUGAAAGACGGUCUUGCUGUCACGUAUAGAUGGAUCCGCGCUGCAUUAGCUAGUUGGUAAGGUAACGGCUUACCAAGGCAACGAUGCAUAGCCGACCUGAGAGGGUGAUCGGCCACACUGGAACUGAGACACGGUCCAGACUCCUACGGGAGGCAGCAGUAGGGAAUCUUCCGCAAUGGGCGAAAGCCUGACGGAGCAACGCCGCGUGAGUGAUGAAGGUCUUCGGAUCGUAAAACUCUGUUAUUAGGGAAGAACAUAUGUGUAAGUAACUGUGCACAUCUUGACGGUACCUAAUCAGAAAGCCACGGCUAACUACGUG
rnacentral:rRNA from 1 species